rnacentral:rRNA from 1 species
CUACGGGGUGCUGCAGUGGGGAAUAUUGCACAAUGGGCGCAAGCCUGAUGCAGCCAUGCCGCGUGUAUGAAGAAGGCCUUCGGGUUGUAAAGUACUUUCAGCGGGGAGGAAGGGAGUAAAGUUAAUACCUUUGCUCAUUGACGUUACCCGCAGAAGAAGCACCGGCUAACUCCGUGCCAGCAGCCGCGGUAAUACGGAGGGUGCAAGCGUUAAUCGGAAUUACUGGGCGUAAAGCGCACGCAGGCGGUUUGUUAAGUCAGAUGUGAAAUCCCCGGGCUCAACCUGGGAACUGCAUCUGAUACUGGCAAGCUUGAGUCUCGUAGAGGGGGGUAGAAUUCCAGGUGUAGCGGUGAAAUGCGUAGAGAUCUGGAGGAAUACCGGUGGCGAAGGCGGCCCCUUGGACAAAGACUGACGCUCAGGUGCGAAAGCGUGGGGAGCAAACAGAAUUAGAUACCCUUGUAGUC